rnacentral:rRNA from 1 species
UACGUAGGGUGCAAGCGUUGUCCGGAAUUAUUGGGCGUAAAGAGCUCGUAGGCGGCUUGUCACGUCUGCUGUGAAAACUCGGGGCUCAACCCCGAGCCUGCAGUGGAUACGGGCUAGCUAGAGUGCGGUAGGGGAGACUGGAAUUCCUGGUGUAGCGGUGAAAUGCGCAGAUAUCGGGAGGAACACCGGUGGCGAAGGCGGUUCUCUGGGCCUUACCUGACGCUGAGGAGCGAAAGCGUGGGGAGCGAACAGG